UAACAACCUACUGCUUGGAAAAUAACGUUUUAUUUUUUAAACAAUACACAAUUAUUAUCCUAACGGUUCUUGAGGUCAGAAGUCUGAGAUGGGUCUCAAUAGGCUAAAAUGAAGAUUAUCAACAGGACUGUGAUCCUUUCAGGAAUUUCUCCAGGGAAAUCUGUUUCCUUGUCUUUUUCAGGUUCUAGAGGCCAACAGCAAUCUAUCUUAUUUCCUCCAGAAAUGGUUCUUCAACAUCAGUCCGGUUGUCACGUAUAGAUCCUGGCAUGAACACAGAGCCCUAAGUCCUCUCCCCAGAGAUUCAGGUGCCUCGCCUUGUAGGCUCCUCCUGGAAGGCACCUCCUGGAUGCUGCUGCUGCAGGUGGCUGCAUCCCUGUGUCCUCGGGAGACUGGCAUCAGGACCCUCUGCGGAUGCUCAAGCUCCACAGUCAGCCCUCCGUGACCCUGGUUCCGCAUCCACGGAUUCAACCAAUGUAGAUCGUGAACGACUUGAUUAUUACUGAAAAACGUCUGCAUGUAAGUGGAGCCGGGUGGUUCAAAAUGUUGUUCGACAGUCAACCGUACUCUAUUUUUUGUCUUUCGAUACCACUUUUGUGAUACAGCUGACUCUCAGAGAGUCACUUAGCUCAGAUCCUUGGAUGCUAAUUGUUGGAAAGGUUAAGAAUCUUUUCAGAUUAAAAGAUGUCACAAUGUUGCUUUGGGGGGUCUUAAUACCAGCCUCCUACGUGUGUCAUUAUGGGUUCAUAAUUAAAUAAUGAAAAUUACUUUAACGAUCAUGAGACACUCCUCUGUCACAGGCCCCAUCCUAAGCGCUUUACUCAGACAACCUCACUGAAUCAUCCAUCUAUCUUCCACUGUGGAUCAGUUACCAUCUGAGGCACAGAGAGGGCGAGAGCGAGCUGAAGAUCACCCAGCAUGAGGCAGGGAGCUAGCACCCUGAGCACCCAGAACGCUUGUGUCCAUUCUUCUGCUUUUCUUUUUUUAAUGCAUAUUUACAUCUUUACUUAUGUAAUCUACCAAAGGACGAAAAUGCCAAGUGCCCUUUAUUAAAAUAGUAUGCUUAUGUUCCUUUCAAUUUCUUUCUGAAGCUGGUGGCUUUCUUUACUUAUCAAAAGUCAUUUUAAAAUCCAAUCUGCUUGGAGAAGGUAAACAAUAAUCUUUCCCCUCCCCAAGAGACAUAAAUUACAGUUAUACUAAAAAUCAGCUGAUUAAAAAAACAUCUUUAUUCCUUUAAUAAGAAAAGCAGUCUUGUUUCUAAAAGUUAUUGAGUGUUUUUUAAUGUCUGAUUUCAAACAUGUGAAAUGUUAUUCCUUUACUGUUUUCCCAAACCUCAGACUCCAAACCUUAGGCUAACAUUAUUAGCAUUGGUAACAUAAAAAACAAGAUACUUUCAGAUUUCUCAGUGAGAAACCUCACAGUCAUGUCCAUGUAUCCCACAGAAG
rnacentral:lncRNA from 1 species